UACGUAGGGUGCAAGCGUUAAUCGGAAUUAUUGGGCGUAAAGCGCGCGUAGGCGGCUUGGCAAGUCGGAUGUGAAAUCCCUCGGCUCAACCAAGGAAGUGCAUCCGAAACUGCUGAGCUUGAGUACUUAAGAGGAUCGCGGAAUUCCCGGUGUAGAGGUGAAAUUCGUAGAUAUCGUAAGGAAGACCAGUGGCGAAGGCGGGUCUCUGGACAGUUCCUGACGCUGAGGCACGAAGGUCAGGGGAGCAAACGGG
rnacentral:rRNA from 1 species